rnacentral:pre_miRNA from 1 species
AAAGUACUCCCUCCAUCCCAAAAUUCCUGUCUUAGAUUUGUCUAGAUACGGAUGUAUCAAGUCACAUUUUAGUAUUAGAUACAUCCGUAUCUAGACAAAUCUAAGACAAGAAAUUUGGGACAGAGGGAGUAGUUG